GGGAACAUAAUCCUCCACUCGUUAGAGUUGACUAAAACGCCCUCAUUUUUAUAAGUCUCAUCAUCCUCGAUAAAUAAGGGUUGUCUCAUCAAACAAAGCUCGAGCGUCGGAGGGGUUUCCCGUGAACACCUCCUGGCCAGUUUUUCGUUGUAUUUUGCAGGAUUGUAGGAGACCUAUUCCUCGGCUCUUCAGACCUUUUCGGAAUUUCAAGACUCUCAACACUACAAUAAUUUUUGACAGUUUCUAGACAGAAACAAUUUGUAAAAUAUCAUCCUUAUAAAUAUUAUUUGUUUUUUAUGA